UACGGAGGAUGCGAGCGUUAUCCGGAUUUAUUGGGUUUAAAGGGUGCGCAGGCGGUCUGUUAAGUCAGCGGUAAAAUUGCGGGGCUCAACCCCGUCGAGCCGUUGAAACUGGCAGACUUGAGUUGGCGAGAAGUACGCGGAAUGCGCGGUGUAGCGGUGAAAUGCAUAGAUAUCGCGCAGAACUCCGAUUGCGAAGGCAGCGUACCGGCGCCACACUGACGCUGAGGCACGAAAGCGUGGGGAUCGAACAGG
rnacentral:rRNA from 1 species